rnacentral:lncRNA from 1 species
UUUUCUCUUACACCCUUCUCUGUGAUCUCAUCUGACAAUCACUACCAUGGCAACCAAGCCUCUGUGACGUUCCAGCAAGCUCAUUGUCUUCUCUUCACUAAACUUUAGUUAGUAGUUGGUCCCAGUCAGUAACACUCUGGGAGGGCUCAGGCCACAUCACGAAAUGUGACAGGAUAGCCUUGAACUCAUCAAUUGCUGGGGGCACCUCAAACUCAACUCCAAAAUUGAUCUAAUGAACUUUCCCAAACCACAUUCCCUUCUUGCAUUUCUGAGAGAAUGGAUUCCCAUUCAUCUGACUACAGUGCUACCCUGAAAGCAGAUCCAGAGACUAAGAUUCACCUGCAGGUGAUUCAUUUGCAAGGUAAGCUGUCAUCAGUUGGAGGUAAGCGGAAGACAGUAGAGAGUACAGAGCCCUGGACUGUGACUCAGAGGAUGAGCACCAGAUCCAGUUUGCUGUGCCACAGUGCCUUCUCCAAAGUCACUCACAGAAGGCAUCCCACUCAACCUCACCUUGGGGUAAAUCAAAAUAGUCCUCCUUCUGAAGCUACCGGGUAAAGCGGUGGUAGCUGUGCAGCUGCUGCUGAUCAACAGGCUCCAGAAACAGCAGCAGGAGGUCUUUGCUGCACUAUAUUCCAGUCCUGAAGAUUUUCCUCAGAUAAUCUUUCAUCUCUUUGUUCCUGAGACUAUAUAUUAGAGGAUUACAGAGUGGUGUUAUCACAGAAAAGAACAAGUGGAUUUUUAUCUGAGAUCUACAACUUAUGAAGAAUACAAAUGAUGUAUAUUCUUUUCUACUCUUCAUGUAUGGACUAGAGGGGCUUGCACAGUAGUAAGAAAAAAAUGGCUGAGACCCACAGGAACAAAGAAACAGGACAGGAGUUAGAUGCAGAGAAGAGAUUUCAACAAAAGUUUGGAAAAGAUGCUAACGGUAGCAUAUGAGUCACAGACAGAACAUUGGCACCUUUGUUUAAGAAACUGAAUGUUAAUGUCACAUCUGCCUUUGGAGAUUACAAAUGAAAUGGCUACCUUUCUACUGGAACCCUGACCAGAAGUCUGCCAGUUAGUAAGCUGGCUUAAGAGAUCAAUCUAAAAUUUACAUAAGGCUUUUGAAAAAAAGAAAAAAACUCAAGAGAAUUGACAUCUGGUGUUAAAAAACAAAAAAUCAUACAAAUGACUGAUAUGUAUCAUUUUCCUUAUUAAAUAUGGAAGAAAGGGGAGGAGGAUGCAGAAAUGGUUGGCUAAAAGCUCCAGAGAAAAACUUAACAGAUUUUAUGAUUUUGCGGAAG